CAAUACGCAAUCCACGCCCAUCCAUUUCAAAAAUGUGGCUCACCUGAUGAAUGGACCCCACAGGACCUUUUUUGUGUGGGGCCCAUCGUUUGAAUGGUUUAUGUUGGCGGGAAAGAUAGGUGAUGGAUGACAAGUUAUCAUACAACACAAGCACUUGUAUCUGAUCACAUCAUCACUUCUCCUUCCCUUCCUCACAAAUGGCGAAGAGAAAACCAUUCCCUCUUUUGAAGAAUCUCUUCAGACAAUCCCAUCUCUCCUCAAAACCCAUUUCUUCUUCUCUUGGAAGAGCUCCUUCCUUCAAUCCCGACACCGGCGGCAGCAUCGCUCUCGCUAACCGCCUCUGCAGAGAGAAGAAAUUCAAAGAAGCCGUCGACGUCCUCUGCCAGCAGAAGCGCCUGAGAGAAGCCGUCGGCAUCCUUGAUAUCCUCGACCGCUCUGGAACCCGGCCUUCGGCUCCCAUCUACGCCGCCCUCCUUCAGCUCUGCCUCCAGAACCGAUCCCUUGACGACGGCAGACGGGUCCAUGCCCACACCAAGGCCUGCGGCUUCAUGCCGGGCCUCUUCAUCUCCAACCGCCUAGUCGACAUGUACUCCAAGUGCGGCGCACUGGCCGACGCUCGUCGCGUGUUCGAUGAUAUGCCUGAGAGAGAUACGUGUUCUUGGAACACCAUGAUCGCUGGCUACGCGAAGGAGGGCCGCCUUCAUGAUGCCCGGAGACUGUUCGAUGAAAUGCCUGAGAAGGAUGGCUUCUCUUGGAGCACGAUGAUUUCUGGGUAUGUCCGCCACCAUCAGCCCAAGGAGGCUUUGGAGCUGUAUGGUGAAAUGCAGAGAGGUGGCAAUGAUUUGAGAUGUAAUACAUUUGCGGUCUCUAGCGCUCUAGCUGCUUCUGCGGCCAGCCGCUCUCUAAGGCAGGGGAAGGAGAUUCAUGGUCAUAUCACAAGGAACAGAUUAGCGAUGGAUGCUGUCAUUUGGAGUGCUCUGUCGGAUAUGUAUGCGAAAUGUGGGAGUAUAGAAGAGGCUCGUCACAUUUUCAAUGGGACGUCGGAUGGGGAUGUUGUUUCUUGGACGACUAUGAUAGGAAGAUACUUCGAGGGCGGAAGGAGGGAAGAGGGUUUUGAGCUUUUCUCAGACAUGCUGAGGUCUGGCAUCAGACCGAAUGAAUUCACAUUCACCGGUAUUUUGAAUGCUUGCUCGACUCAAGCGGCCGAAGAGUUAGGGAAGCAGGUUCAUGGUCACAUGACCCGAAUUGGGUUUGAUCCAUUUUCUUUUGCUGCAAGUGCGCUUGUUGAUAUGUAUUCAAAAUGCGGGAACGUCAAAAGUGCAAGGACAGUAUUUGAAGGAAUGACCCGACCAGAUUUAGUCUCAUGGACUUCUAUGAUAGCCUGUUAUGCCCAGAAUGGCCAACCCGAAGAAGCUCUUCGGUACUUCGAAUUGCUACUCAAAUCUGGUACCAAACCCGACCACGUAACAUUCGUCGGAGUUCUUUCUGCAUGUACUCAUUCCGGAUUAGUCGAUAAAGGGCUCGAAAUCUUCAAAUCAAUAAGUGAAGAUCAUGGACUGGCGUAUACAGCUGACCACUAUGCUUGCAUAGUCGAUCUCCUUGGGAGAUGCGGCCGAUUCGAAGAAGCGGAAGAGAUCAUUAACAAAAUGCCCAUGAAGCCUGAUAAGUUCUUGUGGGCUUCUUUGCUCGGCGGUUGUAGAAUUCAUGGAAAUCUUAGGCUUGCAAAACGAGCAGCUGAAGCAUUGUUUGUGAUAGAGCCCGAAAAUGCUGCGACUUACGUCACAUUGGCGAACAUCUACGCCGCUGCAGGAAGGUGGGACGAGGUCGCGAGGAUUAGAAAGAUGAUGGACGACAGAGGGGUGAUAAAGAAGCCCGGUUCUAGUUGGAUCGAGGUGAAGAGGAGGGCUCAUGUGUUCUUGGUGGGAGAUAAAUCUCACCCGAAAGCGAAGGAAAUCUAUGGAUUGUUGGAGAAACUGUCAACGAAGAUGAAGGAAGAAGGGUACAUCCCAGACACAAACUUUGUGCUGCACGACGUGGAAGAGGAGCAGAAGGAACAGAACCUGUCGCACCACAGUGAGAAGCUUGCAGUUGCGUUCGGGAUCAUUGAGACUCCGCCCGGAACUCCCAUCAAAGUAUUCAAGAACCUACGGAUUUGCGGGGAUUGCCACACCGCCAUUGGGUUCAUCUCGAGGAUCACUCAGAGGGAGAUUGUUGUGAGGGAUUCGAACCGGUUCCAUCGAUUCAAGGAUGGGAUCUGCUCAUGUGGAGGUUUUUGGUAACAUGGGUCUGUUAAAAAGCUUAUGAGGGAGAGUAGCUUGGGAUGCUUCAAUGGAAAAGGGCAGGAAAUACAGUCAUUCAAAUUCCUGCCAUCUCCUGACCGUUGAUGAAACUGAGGAAGCUCACAUUCACUAGAGAGCAGAUGCAAGCAGCUAUGGACUUGGCAUAUGAUAUGUUAUUUCUCCAGAAAAUGGUGAAAUGAAGAGGGGGAAAGGUAUAAUUCAUCCUAUUAUUACACAAAGCUUGAAGUGAAGCAGCAAGAAAUUCGGGUGUGGCUUUCAAAAGUGUAAACAAGUAUAAACAGGUAGGAAACAGGAGCAGAAGCGAGCGUCUAAUGCAGGGAUUCAAAGGGGAAGCAGCACUUGGUUAGAAAGAUCCUGCAACUAAAGUUCAUCCAUGAUGGGGGCCAUCACAUCAAUGGCUUGGAUAAACCAACCGUGGCCCCCACUUGUACUGAUUCUCUACAUUCGCUACAAACAGGGAAUUUACCAAAAAAGAAGAUGUAAUUUUCCUCCCAAGUAUGUAUCGAAAUGUGCAUUCUUUUAUUUCUUUAUUUCUUUUUUAUUCCCCUUCACUCAUAUAUGGCACUGGGGAAAUAAUUUUAGCUACAUGAAACUGGUAUAUGAACUGGAGAUCAGAAAAACUGAGGGGUGGCAUUUAGUAGAGAGUCAGUUCCUUUGCCUAGCUGAAGGAAAAAAAUAAUUUAAAAAAAAAAAAAAAAGCCUUAAUCCGUAGCAAGUUCAUUUCUCCUCAUUCUA